rnacentral:rRNA from 1 species
AGAUUAAGUUAUUAAGGGCGCACGGUGGAUGCCUUGGCACUAGAAGCCGAUGAAGGACGUUACUAACGACGAUAUGCUUUGGGUAGCUGUAAGUAAGCGUUGAUCCAGACAUUUCCGAAUGGGGGAACCCAGCAUGAGUUAUGUCAUGUUAUCGACAUGUGAAUUCAUAGCAUGUCAGAAGGCAGACCCGGAGAACUGAAACAUCUUAGUACCCGGAGGAAGAGAAAGAAAAAUCGAUUCCCUGAGUAGCGGCGAGCGAAACGGGAAGAGCCCAAACCAACAAGCUUGCUUGUUGGGGUUGUAGGACACUCUAUACGGAGUUACAAAAGAACAUGUUAGACGAAUCAUCUGGAAAGAUGAAUCAAAGAAGGUAAUAAUCCUGUAGUCGAAAACAUAUUCUCUCUUGAGUGGAUCCUGAGUACGACGGAGCACGUGAAAUUCCGUCGGAAUCUGGGAGGACCAUCUCCUAAGGCUAAAUACUCUCUAGUGACCGAUAGUGAACCAGUACCGUGAGGGAAAGGUGAAAAGUACCCCGGAAGGGGAGUGAAAGAGAACUUGAAACCGUGUGCUUACAAGUAGUCAGAGCCCGUUAAUGGGUGAUGGCGUGCCUUUUGUAGAAUGAACCGGCGAGUUACGAUCUGAUGCAAGGUUAAGCAGCAAAUGUGGAGCCGCAGCGAAAGCGAGUCUGAAUAGGGCGUUGAGUAUUUGGUCGUAGACCCGAAACCAGGUGAUCUACCCUUGGUCAGGUUGAAGUUCAGGUAACACUGAAUGGAGGACCGAACCGACUUACGUUGAAAAGUGAGCGGAUGAACUGAGGGUAGCGGAGAAAUUCCAAUCGAACUUGGAGAUAGCUGGUUCUCUCCGAAAUAGCUUUAGGGCUAGCCUCAAGUGAUGAUUAUUGGAGGUAGAGCACUGUUUGGACGAGGGGCCCCUCUCGGGUUACCGAAUUCAGACAAACUCCGAAUGCCAAUUAAUUUAACUUGGGAGUCAGAACAUGGGUGAUAAGGUCCGUGUUCGAAAGGGAAACAGCCCAGACCACCAGCUAAGGUCCCAAAAUAUAUGUUAAGUGGAAAAGGAUGUGGCGUUGCCCAGACAACUAGGAUGUUGGCUUAGAAGCAGCCAUCAUUUAAAGAGUGCGUAAUAGCUCACUAGUCGAGUGACACUGCGCCGAAAAUGUACCGGGGCUAAACAUAUUACCGAAGCUGUGGAUUGUCCUUUGGACAAUGGUAGGAGAGCGUUCUAAGGGCGUCGAAGCAUGAUCGCAAGGACAUGUGGAGCGCUUAGAAGUGAGAAUGCCGGUGUGAGUAGCGAAAGACGGGUGAGAAUCCCGUCCACCGAUUGACUAAGGUUUCCAGAGGAAGGCUCGUCCGCUCUGGGUUAGUCGGGUCCUAAGCUGAGGCCGACAGGCGUAGGCGAUGGAUAACAGGUUGAUAUUCCUGUACCACCUAGUAUCGUUUUAAUCGAUGGGGGGACGCAGUAGGAUAGGCGAAGCGUGCUGUUGGAGUGCACGUCCAAGCAGUAAGGCUGAGUGUUAGGCAAAUCCGGCACUCAUAAGGCUGAGCUGUGAUGGGGAGAGGAAAUUGUUUCCUCGAGUCGUUGAUUUCACACUGCCGAGAAAAGCCUCUAGAUAGAUAACAGGUGCCCGUACCGCAAACCGACACAGGUAGUCAAGAUGAGAAUUCUAAGGUGAGCGAGCGAACUCUCGUUAAGGAACUCGGCAAAAUGACCCCGUAACUUCGGGAGAAGGGGUGCUCUUUAGGGUUCACGCCCAGAAGAGCCGCAGUGAAUAGGCCCAAGCGACUGUUUAUCAAAAACACAGGUCUCUGCUAAACCGUAAGGUGAUGUAUAGGGGCUGACGCCUGCCCGGUGCUGGAAGGUUAAGAGGAGUGGUUAGCUUCUGCGAAGCUACGAAUCGAAGCCCCAGUAAACGGCGGCCGUAACUAUAACGGUCCUAAGGUAGCGAAAUUCCUUGUCGGGUAAGUUCCGACCCGCACGAAAGGCGUAACGAUUUGGGCACUGUCUCAACGAGAGACUCGGUGAAAUCAUAGUACCUGUGAAGAUGCAGGUUACCCGCGACAGGACGGAAAGACCCCGUGGAGCUUUACUGUAGCCUGAUAUUGAAAUUCGGCACAGCUUGUACAGGAUAGGUAGGAGCCUUUGAAACGUGAGCGCUAGCUUACGUGGAGGCGUUGGUGGGAUACUACCCUAGCUGUGUUGGCUUUCUAACCCGCACCACUUAUCGUGGUGGGAGACAGUGUCAGGCGGGCAGUUUGACUGGGGCGGUCGCCUCCUAAAAGGUAACGGAGGCGCUCAAAGGUUCCCUCAGAAUGGUUGGAAAUCAUUCAUAGAGUGUAAAGGCAUAAGGGAGCUUGACUGCGAGACCUACAAGUCGAGCAGGGUCGAAAGACGGACUUAGUGAUCCGGUGGUUCCGCAUGGAAGGGCCAUCGCUCAACGGAUAAAAGCUACCCCGGGGAUAACAGGCUUAUCUCCCCCAAGAGUUCACAUCGACGGGGAGGUUUGGCACCUCGAUGUCGGCUCAUCGCAUCCUGGGGCUGUAGUCGGUCCCAAGGGUUGGGCUGUUCGCCCAUUAAAGCGGUACGCGAGCUGGGUUCAGAACGUCGUGAGACAGUUCGGUCCCUAUCCGUCGUGGGCGUAGGAAAUUUGAGAGGAGCUGUCCUUAGUACGAGAGGACCGGGAUGGACAUACCUCUGGUGUACCAGUUGUCGUGCCAACGGCAUAGCUGGGUAGCUAUGUAUGGACGGGAUAAGUGCUGAAAGCAUCUAAGCAUGAAGCCCCCCUCAAGAUGAGAUUUCCCAACUUCGGUUAUAAGAUCCCUCGAAGAUGACGAGGUUAAUAGGUUCGAGGUGGAAGCGUGGUGACACGUGGAGCUGACGAAUACUAAUCGAUCGAAGACUUAAUCAAUUUUUAAA